rnacentral:rRNA from 1 species
GAUGAACGCUGGCGGCGUGCCUAAUACAUGCAAGUCGAGCGAACAGACGAGGAGCUUGCUCCUCUGACGUUAGCGGCGGACGGGUGAGUAACACGUGGAUAACCUACCUAUAAGACUGGGAUAACUUCGGGAAACCGGAGCUAAUACCGGAUAAUAUAUUGAACCGCAUGGUUCAAUAGUGAAAGACGGUUUUGCUGUCACUUAUAGAUGGAUCCGCGCCGCAUUAGCUAGUUGGUAAGGUAACGGCUUACCAAGGCAACGAUGCGUAGCCGACCUGAGAGGGGGAUCGGCCACACUGGAACUGAGACACGGUCCAGACUCCUACGGGAGGCAGCAGUAGGGAAUCUUCCGCAAUGGGCGAAAGCCUGACGGAGCAACGCCGCGUGAGUGAUGAAGGUCUUCGGAUCGUAAAACUCUGUUAUUAGGGAAGAACAAAUGUGUAAGUAACUAUGCACGUCUUGACGGUACCUAAACAGAAAGCCCCGGCUAACUACGUG